rnacentral:lncRNA from 1 species
GUUGUUGCCAAAAGAUGAAGGAACAAGCACCAUGCUAUUGCGAGUACAUGAAGAUAGAAGAUGUCAAACGUGUUUUUGACAGAGUUGAGAUUGCGAAGAUGGCUAAAUUGUGUGGAGUUUCAUAUUCUUCCACCUGCUAGAAUCCCGUUUGGUUUCAUUUGACUAUCUCUGGCUGGGAUAACCUAGCAUCUCAAUAAAUGAAAUUUUAUUUGAAAACUAUUUUUUUACUCAUAAUUUCGACUAUAAUGUACUUGUGUUCUUUUUUUUUUUAGAAUGAUACUGGUGUUUUGCUAUUAUUUACCUUUAUUGUCUUGAUUCAUGUUACAUAUGUGCAAAAAGAACUACAGAAUGAUCUAGAUUUUAUUUGAACCGUACUGGAUUGGUUGGAUUGGAAACUGAUCUGGAUAGUGGUAUAAUUAGAGGGGUUAGAUUGGUUGACCCACGAACCAAUAGGGAGUAUUUGAAUCGAUUUUCUCUAUUUCUUAAAAAAUAUUUUUAUAUUUAUUUUAAUCUUUAAGUAAUUUAUUUAAUCAAACUAGAUGAACAGGUCGAAAUAAAAAAUAGUUAUUUAGCUGAUUUAACCACCGGUCCAGUUCUGAAAACAUUGUUAUAGUUAAAAAAAAAACAAGAGAAAUGAGUUGAGUAGAUCAAAUUAUUAUAUUAUAAAAAUAUAUGUUAUUUGAAUAUUUAUUUGGGUAAAAUACACUAGUAGUGACUCAACUUUUAGUAAAUUUCUUUUUUUAGCUCCAGAUAGCUAAUGGUGACAACUAGACUUAUUAAUUGGCCGAGUUACCUGCCUAGGCCCGAUGGUCUACUCGAAAAAUGGAAGGAUUUGGACAAAUAUAUGAUGCUAAAAAAUGGGCUUGGGUAAAAUUUAAUGCCUAUUUUCUAUAUGGGUCAGGAGCUGUAAUAAAUUUUUUUGACCCGAGCCCAAUCCGACCUGAAUAUAUUAUGUUAUAACAAAUAAUUAUACUAAUUAUAUAUGUUAACUAAUAAUUAUAUAUUUUUUUAUAUUUAUAUUAAAUUACUAAUGCAAUAACAACUAAACCCAUUACCCAAAACCUAAAAAAAAAAACUUACCCAAGUAAAUCAUUGGCUUCAACUAUACCUAAAGCCCGUCAAUUAUUUAACCAUAGACAUAUUUUAGUUAAUGGCAUACAAUAGAUUUACCAAGUUAUCGUUGCAAGCCUAGCAAUAUUAUUUUAGUGAGGGAUGAACAAAAUUCUAGAACUCUGAUUCAAAAUUAUCUUGAUUCAUCCACCAAUGAGGAAUUACCAAAACAUUUAACCCUUCACACAUUACUAUAUAAGUGAUUAGUCAAUCAAAUAAUAGAUAGGAAAUGGGUUGGUUUGAAAAUAAAUGGAUUGUUUGUCGUAGAAUAUUAUUCUCGUCAGAACUCAAAAUAUAUAAUUUUAAAAAUUAUAUUUAAUACAAUAAAACAUAUAUUGUAUUUAUUCUAGUAUUUUUUAAUGAAUUUUUAAUGUGGUAUUAAACUCUUAGUUGAUGAAACUUGUUAGGUUCAAUAGACUAUUAAAUCAUUAAUUCUGAAGCCAUUAAUCAUAUUUGUGUUUAUUGUAGGGUUCAAGUAAAUGAGAAGCCUUCGUGGCAAGGAUCUCUCAUUGCGAAUUGGAGAUGGGACAAAUGUAGCGACAAAAGUAGUGGGAGAAGUACAUUUGUAUUUUGAUAAUUUUAGGAAAAUUAUUUUAAAUGGCAUUUUUAUGUACCUAGUUUUAGGAGAAAUUUAAUUUCUAUUGCAUGUUUAUUUAAAGAAGGUUUUUCUGUGGCUUUUAAUAAAGGGAUUGCAAUUCAUAAAAUCAUGUUCUUAUCCAUAAUGGAUGGGUGCAAAAUAAUAUUUAUUUUCUUACACAAAAGAGCUACUCACAGCUUGAAACCAAACUUGUGAAUAAAAAACUUGAAACUUCACACUCUGAUUCUUAUGAUAUUUAAUACUUAACCGCGUUAAACAAGAAAGAUUGAAUAAAAUUUUUAAAGAUGAGAUUUUAGGUUUACUUAAAGUGAUACAUCUUCCACAAUGUGAAUCUUGCUUGAAACGUAAAAUAACCAAGCAAUCUUCUAAUGCAAAAGGUACAAGGAUUGUUCAAUCAUUCAAACUUUUGCAUACCGACGUAUGUGGUCCUAUGAACGUUAGUGUAAGAUUUGGCUACAAUUAUUAUGUAAAAUUUUUAGAUAUUUAUUCCAGAUACUAGCUAGUAUGUGUACCUAAUGCAUCAUAAGAGUGAAACUUUUAAAAAAAUUCAAGAGUUUAGUGUGAAAGUGGAGAAACAAUUAGGUUUACCCAUUAAGGCACUUCGGUUUGACCGACGUGGGGAAUACUUAUCGGACGAGUUCAUAAGAUACCUCAUAGAGAAUGAGAUACUAUCCCAAUUAACUGUGCAGGGUACUCCACAACAGAAUGGCAUGACAGUGAGAUGGAACAAAACCUUGCUUGAUAUGAUUUAUUUAAUGUUAAGUUAUUCAAAACUUCCAAUAUCAUUCUCAGAGUAAGCAUUACUACCAACUUGAGAUAUUUUAAAUUACAUAAAAACCAAGGAAGCACCUCAGAAUCCAUACGAAAUGUGGCAUGACAUGAAGCCAAGCCUAAAUCAUUUUAGGAAUCGGGGAUGCCCAACUUACGUGUUGGCUAAAGAUGCAAAAAAGUUGGAAGCACGAAUAGAAUUUUGCAUGCUUGUUGGUUGUCCAAAACGGAGUAAGGGUGGAUAAAUUUAUAAUCCAAAAGACAAAAAGGUUAAGGUUUCGACUUAUGCUACUUUCCUUGAGGAAAUCUACAUUAAAAAUUUUAAACCUCGAAGUAGAUUGUUACUUCAAAAAAUUUCAGGAAAAUGAGCUUAUUUUUUGAUGACUUGUAAGUCAUUUUUCGUGAAUAAACGCAGCUAAAGGAAAAUGAAUAAUAGGAUAAUAAUUUUAUAAACAACGAUCUAAAAUAUUUUACUCAUACCAUCAUUUUGAUUGAUUUUAUUAGUGAUUUUUAUUUUCUAUUCUACUUUUUUUAGCGACUCUUUAAAUAAUUGAGACCAAUAAAAAAAACUGUAACAACUAAAAUUAAAAAUUUAAUAUUCUAAAAAAAACCAUAUAUUUUAAUUUAAAUUUUAAAUUUAAAUUGUUAAAAGAUUAAGCUAUUUUCUCGGCUUUGUAGGCACGUUUCAAUUUUUUUUACCACAAAUUAUCUCCCUCACAAAAAUAGUAAACCUAACAAUAUCCUUUUACAAAAUUUACACAUUUACACGUAUUGUCCAAAACUCUCGACAACUAAUAAUCCAAUUGCUAUAAAUUGUGCAAAAGAUCAUUGGAAAAAACACAUCAUCACAAAUUACCAUUAUUAGUCAGCCAACUGGCUAAUUUUUUUUUUGAAAAAACAUGAAGAGGUUUUCCCUUAUUGUUUUGUGCAUGGUGACUCUAGUGGUGGUGGUGUUUUCGAGUGCAGAUAAUAUGAUAGUAUAAAAAUUUCGUUAAGAAAUUUUGUCGUUUGUAUGCUUAAUUUGUGAAAAAGGACUAAAUCGCGUAAAGUGUAAAAGUUGUGUUCUAUUAGCUAAAAGUGUUAAAUAGCUAUAUAACUUUAAAGUGGAGGUCCUUAUAUGGUAUCUAGACCACUAAUUGAGUUAUUGGAUGUGCAUGACAUGGUAUUUUUGAAAUUUUUAAAGUUUGGUAAGAGUGAAUAGGUAAUUAGGAAAUUAAAGGUUAAAAAUUUAAUAUAACAAAAUAGUAAUCAUCUUUCUUCUUCAACCUACCAAAAAUUUCAUUAAACAUUGGGGUUUUGAAGCUUUGAAAUUCAGCUAAGCUCUCCCUUGCAUGGUGAGUGAUUUUUGUUUCGUUUUUAUUGGUUUUUAUGUUUCCGGGAUUAUUGUAGCUUAACCUAGCUAGCCCGGGGACUAAUUUGCAAAAUAGUUGAAGGUUUAGGGUUUUACCAUUGAUUAAUAUGUUAGGAUUUUGAAAUUUAAUGAAAGAAAAUUAAUCAUUGUUGUGAGAUAAACACUUUUUGUUAAGUGAUUUUGAUAAAAUUGUCAAAUAGAGGCUAAAUUAAGAAAUGGGAAAAUUGUGUGUUAAAUGUGUGAAAUUGUUAAUUUUCUGAGCUGCUGUAUGCACAUAUGAAAUUCGACUAGGCUUAUAUAGGGAUGAAAUUGCAUAAAUUUCAUUUUACGAGCCUAAGGACUAAUUUGUAAAGAAGUUAAAUAUUUAGGGGGAAAUGGUAAUUUUGCCAUAACUUGAAAUUUGGAUUGAAUUGAAUAGAAUAAUGAUUAAAUUUGUUAAAUUUGAUUAUAUAGAUCAAGAAAAGCGACGUACGGAAUUAGAUCGAGGGAAAGAUAAAGUUAUCGUUUAAACAAUCAUUUUUCGUCGUACGAGUUCAAGGUAAGUUCGUGUAAUUGCAUUGUGUAUUUGUAUACUUUAAUUGAAAUAUAUGUUUUUGGAUUGUGUAAUCAUGAUGUAUAAUUAUCGAACUUAUAACCGAGGUAGUACGAAGAAUAUAGAGUCCCGUUUGAACCUUAGGAAUUCGUAGGAUACAAAUGACAUGUCAUUAGGGUUACCGAUUUGGUUGUGGUCAUGCAUGUGUUGCGGACACACCACAACUCGUAUGAGCUUAUCGAUUUCAACUCGUGAGAGCUUACCGAUUCACAGCUCGGAGGAGCUUACCGUUUAUCACUUGUAUUAGCAUACAUUUACAAGAAUUGACGGAUUUACAGUUUAGUACAUCUCGCGCGUGCUACCCUCAUAUCUAACGAUAUUCUAAGUGGCUCAACGGGCAUAGUGAUAUUACGAGAUUACACAAGUUUAAUACGAACUAGUACAGGUAUUUACAUGAAAAUGGGUUAUAUAUGAUAUACGGAUACACGGUAUAGAUGGUACAUGUACAUUAAAUUUAAUAAUUGUUGAAUUCAUACAUGAUUCUCGGUUUUAUAUGAAUACAUGGCUAACUUGGUUAAUGGUUAUGUGAUAGGCUUUGCCAAAUUGAAUUAUGUUAUGCUUUGAGUUAUUUACCUAAAUUUGUGGUUAAAUGGUAAGUUUAAUUCUGUAUUAUACGAACUUAUUAAGCUUAAUUGCUUACUCUGUUUAUUUUCUCGUGUUUUAUAGAGAUUCGAAAGCUCGUUUGGAUUGGAAGUUGUCAGAGACCACAUCACACUAUCAAACUUUAUUUUGGUACUUUUGACUUUAUAUUUUGGGUUAAAUGGCAUGUAUAGGUCAUUUUGGCUAAUGGUAGCCUUUAUGUUUUAUUGUGUAUUUAGCCAUUUGAUUUGGCUUGAAUUUGGUAUAUUUUGUUAUGUAAAUAUGUAAAUGGCCUUAUUGUAUAUGAUAUACGAUUGUCAUGUAAUGCUUUGUUUGUGAAUUGGUAUUAGGGUACCAAAUGGUUGAAGUUAAAAUGUGGUAUCAUGUUCAAUUUAGGCACUAGAUCUCAUAGGUGAGGUUGACCAUUUAGGUAUACUUUGGAAGUAUAUUUGGUAUGUUUUAAAGUGAUCAUUUGAAUGUGUUUAUGGAUAUCACGUUGUAUGUGUGAAAUUACAUAUUAUAAACUUGAUAUUGGUUGGUUUUAAGUGUCUAAUUAUGCCUUGGUUCUAUACAAAUUGAUGUGUAUAGGUUGGUAUCAAUAUGGGUGAGGAAUAUGACUUGGAAAAUGGCUUAUUUUUGUCCACACGGGCAGAGACACGGGCGUGUUUCUCAGCUGUUUGUGACAUACGGUUAGGUGACACGACCAUGUGUCCCGUGAUACUUCUAUACAAAUCAAGUCAGUAGCUUCACACAACCUAGCACACGGUCGUGUGGCUUGGCCGUGUGGCACAAGUCAGUAGACUCUCCAGUUUUCACACGGUUUGGCACACGGGCGUGUGAGGUCAUUUCGAAUGGUACACGGCUUGGCACACAGGUGUGUGGUUGACUGUGUGACCCAAGUCAGUGAGUUACACGGGGUUGGACACGGGCGGAGACACGACUGUGUGAUCCCAUUUCGAAUGCCCACACGGGCAUGUCUCUUGGCCGUGUGAGACACACAGCUUAGCCACACGGGCAUGUGUCCCCUGCACAUUGAACAUUUCAAUGUUUUCCUAAAAAUUCCUUGAGUACUCGGUUUAGUCCUAAACCACUUUUAAUGUUUAUGUAGGGCCUUGAGGGCUCGUAUUAGGGACUAUAUGAAAGAAUUUGAAUGGCUUUUGAUUGGAAUGAAAAAAAUGAAUAUAAAAAGUAUAAUUGUUUGAGUUAUAAGUUCGGUAAUGCUCCGUAACCCUAUUUCAACGUCGAAUACGGGUUAGGGGUGUUACAUGAUAACCCCUUGGAGUAUAGCUCAUUUUUUAAUGCGUAUAAGAAGCCACCUCGAUCAAUCGAUUGUUGCCAAAAAAUGAAGGAACAAGCACCAUGCUAUUGUGAGUACAUGAAGAUAGAAGAUGCCAAACGUGUUUUUGAUAGAUUUGAGAUUGCAGAAAUGGCUAAAUUGUGUGGAGUUUCAUAUUCUUUCACCUGCUAGAGUCCCGUUUGGUUUCAUUUGACUAUCUCUGGCCAGGAUAACUUGGCAUCUCAAUAAAUGAUAAUUUUAUUUGAAAGCUAUUUUUUUACUCAUUAUUUCGACUAUAAUGUACUUGUGUUCUUUUUUUUUUCCGGAAUGAUACUGGUGGUUUGCUAUCAUUUACCUUUAUUAUCUUGAUUCAUGUUACAUAUGUGCUAAAAGAACUACACAAUGAUCUAGAUUUAGUUUGAAUCGUACUAGAUUGGUUUGAUUGGAAACUGAUCUGGAUACCAACAUAAUUAGAGGGGUUAGAUUGAUUGACCCACGAACCAAUAAAGGCUAGUUGAAACGAUUUUCUCUAUUUCUUUAAAAAUAUUUUUAUAUUUAUUUAAAUUAUUAAAUAAUUUAAUUAAUUAAACGUACACUAGUAGUCACUCAACUUUUAGUAAAUUUCUUUUUUUCUCAUCGAAUUAUGAAAAAUUACAAAAUGAUCAACCAACUAUUCAAUUUUCUAUUUUUUGAUCUCUAGUUAGCUAAUGGUGGCAGCUAGACUUGUUAAUUGGCCGGAUUACUUGCCCAAGUCCGACGGCCCGCUUGAAAAAUGGAAGGUUUUGGACAAAUACACGAUGCCGAAAAAUGGGCUUGGGUAAAAGUUAAGGCCUAUUUUCUAUAUGAGUCGGGAUCUGUGCAAAUAUUUUUCACCCGAGCACAAUCUGACCCGAAUAUAUUAUGUUUUAAAAAUAAUUAUAUUAAUUAUAUAUGUUAAAUAAUAAUUAUAUAUUUAUAUAUAUUGAAUUACUAACCCAAUAAUAACUAAACCCAUUACCCAAAACCUAAAAAAAACUUAGCCAACUAAAUAAUUGGCUUCAGCUAUUCCUAAAGCUCGUCAAUUAGUUAACCAUAGACAUAUUUUAGUUAAUGGCUUACAGUAGAUAUGCCAAGUUAUCAUUGUAAGCCUCGAGGUAUUAUUUCAACGAGGGAUGAACAAAAUUCUAGAACUCUGAUUCAAAAUUAUCUUGAUUCAUCCACCAAUGAGGAAUUACCAAAACAUUUGACCCUUCACACAUUACUAUAUAAAGGAUUAGUCAAUUAAAUAAUAGAUGGAUAAUGGGUUGGUUUGAAAAUAAAUGGAUUGCUUGUCAUAGAAUAUUAUUCUCGUCAGAACUAAAAAUAUAAAAUUUUAAAUUUUUUAUUUAAUACAAUAAAACAUUUAUCAUAUUUAUGGUAGCGUUUUUUAAAGAAUUUUUAAUGUGGUAUGAAACACUCAGUUGAUGAAACUUAUUUAGUGGUAGAUUCAAUAGACUAUUAGGUCAUUAAUUCUGAAGUCAUUAAUAAUAUUUGUGUUUAUUGCUGGGGUUCAAGUAAACGAGAAGCCUUCGUGAUAAGGAUCUCCCGUUGCGAACUGGGGAUGGGAGAAAUGUAGCGGCAAAAGUAGUGGGAGAAGCACAUUUGUAUUUUGAUAAUUUUAGGAAAUUUAUUUUAAAUGAUAUUUUUUAUGUACAUAGUUUUAGGAGAAAUUUAAUUUUUGUUGCAUGUUUAUUUAAAGAAAGUUUUUCUAUGACUUCUAAUAAAAGGAUUGCAAUUCAUAAAAAUCAUGUUCUUAUCCGUAAUGGAUGACUGCAAAAUAAUAUUUAUUUUAUUACACAAAAGAGCCACUCACUGCUUGAAACCAAACUUGUGAAUAAGAAACUUAAAACAUCUCACUUUAAUACUUAAGAUAUUUAAGACUUAGUCGCGUUAAACAAUAAAGAAUGAAUAAACUUUUUAAAGAUGGAACUUUAAGCUCACUUAAAGAGAUACAUCUUCCACCAUGUGAAUCUUGUUGCAAAGGUAAAAUGACCAAGCAAUCUUCUAAUGCAAAAGGUACAAGGGUUGUUCAAUCAUUAAAACUUGUACAUACCGACGUAUGUGGUCCCAUGAACGUUAGUGUGAGAUUUGGUUACAAUUAUUAUGUAAACUUUUUAGAUAUUUAUUCCAGAUACUGGUAUAUGUACCUAAUGCACCACAAGAGUGAAACUUUUAAAAAAUUUCAAGAGUUUAGUGUGAAAGUGUAAAAACAAUUAGGUUUACCCAUUAAGACACUUCCGUUUGACCGACGUGGGGAAUACUUAUUGGAUGAGUUCAUAGGAUACCUCAUAGAGAAUGAGAUAUUAUCCCAAUUAACUGUGUAAGGUACUCCACAAUAGAAUAGCGUGGCACAAAGAUGGAACAAAACCUUGCUUGAUAUGAUUUAUUCAACGUUAAGUUAUUCAAAACUAUUGAUAUCAUUCUGGGGGUAAGCAUUACUAAUGACUUCCUAUAUUCUAAAUUACAUACAAACUAAGGUAGCACCUUAGGAUCCAUAUGAAAUUUGGCACGACAUGAAGCCAGGUCUAAAUCAUUUUAGGAAUUGGGGAUGCCCAACCUACGUGUCGGCUAAAGAUGCAAAAAAGUUGGAAGCACAAAUAGAAUUGUGCAUGUUUGUUGGAUGUCCAAAAUGGAGUAAGGGUGGAUAAUUUUAUAACCCAAAAUACCUAACGGUUAAGGUUUCGACUUAUGCUAAUUUUCUUGAGAAAAUCUACAUUAACAAUUUUAAACUUCGAAGUAGAUUGUUACUUCAGAAAAUUUCAAGAAAAUUAGCUUAUUUUUCGAUGACUAGUAAGUCAUUUUCUGUGAAACAAACUCACUUGAAGGAAAAUGAAUAAGAGGAUAAUAAAUUAUAAACAGUGAUCUAAAAAAUUUUACUCAUACCAUCAUUUUAAUUGAUUUUAUUAGUAAUUUUCAUUUUCUAUUUUACUUUUUUUAGUGACUCUUUAAAUAAUUAAGACCAUUAAAAAUAAACCAUAACAACUAAAAUUUAAAUUUUAAUAUUAUAGAAAAACCAUAUAUUUUAAUUUCAAUUUUAAAUCUUCAAAAAUGGUAAACCUAACAACAUCCUUUUACCAAAUUACACAUUACACGUAUUGUCAAAACUCUCGGCAACUAAUAAUCCAACGGCUAUACAUUGGCCAAAUUUCAUGGGAAAAAAAAACAUGUCAACACAAAAUUACCCUUAGUAGUGCCUAGCUAGCAAACUUUUUAUUUAAAAAAACCAUGAAGAGGUUUUCCCUUAUUUGUUUUGUGCGUGGUGAACUCUAGUAGGUGGUGUUAUUUUCAGGUGCAGAGACAGCGCCAGUGCCAAAUGUGAUAACCCCUUGGAGUAUAGCUCAUGCUUGAACGCGUAUAAGAAAGCCACCUCCAUCAGCUGGUGUUGCCAGAAAAUGAAGGAACCAGCACCAUGCUAUGUGAGUACAUGAAGAUAGAAGAUGUCAAACGUGUUUUUGACAGAGUUGAGAUUGCGAAAAUGGCUAAAUUGUGUGGAGUUUCAUAUUCUUCCACCUGCUAGAAUCCCAUUUGGUUUCAUUUGACUAUCUCUGGCUAGGAUAACCUGGCAUCUCAAUAAAUAAAAUUUUAUUUGAAAACUAUUUUUUACUCAUAAUUUCGACUAUAAUGUACUUGUGUCCUUUUUUUUGGAAUGAUACUGGUCAUUUGCUAUUAUUUACCUUUAUUGUCUUGAUUCAUGUUACAUAUGUGCUAAAAGAACUACACAAUGAUCUAGAUUUUGUUUGAACCGUAUUGGAUUGGUUGGAUUUGGAAAUUGAUCUGGAUACCAAUAUAAUUUGAAGGGUUAGAUUGGUUGACCCACGAACCAAUGGAGAC